GUGUGGGUGUGUAUGUAUGUGUGUGUGUUGCCUCACUCUAGCAUUAAUGAAGUCUUAAAAUUGUUUGCUUGUGGGGAAUGGGUUCGUUUAAAAAAUAUUUACCCAUUGUACUGCUGUUUGUCAACCCGUUUAUAAAUCGGUGUGUUUAUGCUAAAGAUGUUUCUGCUAAAGAAGCAUAGAUGGAGUGCCAUAGAAAUAUAGAUGGGGUGCUAUAGAAAUAAAUAUUGGCUCAGUGAAACUAAAAUUCCUUUGCAUAGAUCUUAUAUACCAUAUACAGACUUAAUGACAUUUAAUCUUUGAGACAGAUAAUUUUCUCUGACAUGGAAAGUUGGCAGAGCACAUGUAGUCAUGCAUGUAAUUGGAACAAAGUUAUAAAAGGUAAAGAUGCCUUUUGGCUGGUCUUGCAAGGAAGAAGAGGUUGGUGCUGUUUUAUCUUAUAGAAAAAAUAAGAAAUCACUGUCUCUUCAAUCACACUAAUAAUUCACUUAGUUCAUGCAUUUUCUAACUUUAAAGAAUUAAAGUGGAUGCCAGAAAAUAAAAAUUCACAUAGUUGAGUAGACUUUGAGGCACAUUAGCCCCUAGUAUUCUUAUUCACUCCAGUGUGUGUCAUGCCCUAGCUUCUACUUUGCUUCCAGAAAUGUGAAUCUUGUAAAUGUCAGCUGAGCUUUAGUGGAAUGGAGGGACAGGAAAUUUUCUGAGACUACAGAGAUGGUUUGAGUUCCAAGGGGGAAUGAAUGCACCUGAUUAUUCCCCAAGCUUCUUAUCCACUUCUUAUCCAGCUUUUUCUAGUUUAGUCAAACUAGAAAAAUACAAUCUUUCACUUAGUUUACACUGAUCUUGGUUUUACUCAUCUUGUUGAAUGUACUAUACAGGCAGUAUUCAACAAAAGUUGAACAAAAAAGCUUAACUGGCAACCAUAAAUUGCAUCCAUAUCCUCACUAGACAGCACCAAUUCAGGGCUUUAAAAUCAGUUAGUUUUUUACUUGGAAAAAUUUGGGCUAGGAAAGAUGUGAGGCACUUGGCUCUCCAGAAGGUGCUUGUGACAUUGGAGAUUGUUAAAAUAUAAUUUUAGAUUGUUACUCUGCUGCAUUUGGCCAUAUAUUCAGAUAUACCAUCUCUGGGCAAUCUUGAAAUAUCUAGGCAGCUGGAAAAACAGAUCUCAAUUUAUUAUAAGCAGUUGGGGGACAAAUUAUUCCCUCCACUAGAUGAACUGAACAGAAUUUGGAGUGUGGAGGCACAAAUCAAUUCCCAACUUAAGUGAGGACAGAGACUAGUGGCAUCAGUUCAAAACAACCACUAUAAGCUAAAGUUAUACCACAGUAGUCAUCAACCGUUUGGGAACAUAUGUCUCAGGUCUAUUGUAUGAGAGUGUGAACAGUAAGAACAUAAGAAAAGCCCUGCUGGAUCAGUCCAGUGACCCAUCUAGUCCAGCAUCCUGUUCUCACAGUGGCCAACCAGCUGCCUCUGGGAAUCCCCCAAGCACAACAGCAUUCUGCCCACCCGUGAUUCCCAGCAACUAGUAUUUAGAGGCACACUGCCUCUGAUAUUGGAGGUAAAGCAUAGCCAUUGUGAUGACGAGGAGGUCUUGAUUUCCUUGUCCUUGAGUUUUGGCUAAUCCUCUCUUAAAGGCAUCCAAGUUGGUGGCCAUCUGCAAUGCACUUGCAGCUUUUUUCUCCAAGCUCUGAACCAUGUAGUAAUGGUAGAUCUGACCCUUGUCCUAGGGUCUUGUCCUAUUGGGCUUUACCCUACUGUGACACCCCUGUAUUGGCCAAUUUGUGUUGUGUUAUAUGUACACACAGCAACAAGCAAAGCCGUGUAUGUGUAUGGGAAAAUGUAGGGUUUGCAGAGCUAUUAUAAUGGAUAUAAUCUGCUAGAAGAACACAGUGCUUGUUUUUUUGUUUUGUAAUUUCUCAAAACAAGUUAAUAACAGGAAAAAGUUUUGCAAUUUACGAUCUAGUGUAGUGCAUCUGGAUUACUUUUCCCUCUCCCUUUUUGACUCUCACAUUAUUAUAACAUUAAAAGCCAAUCUGUCUAAAUAAUGUUAGUUCACACAUUAACAGGCUUUGCAUACUCUGAAGAUUUGGCUGUUUCAUUAUUCUUCUGAGAAUACCCAUUUUUGGAAGAAACAGAAGUUUGAAGUAUUUGGCUGCACAAUAUUCAUUUUUUGUUUUGCACCUUGUCAUUUAAUCACUUUGAAGUCCUAGUGGAAAAUAGUAUGAAAAUGCUGGUGUUGAGAGGAAACUUGUAUACAAAAGCAUGGCUGUUACCCAAAGCCCAGUUGUACACAGAGCUUUUAUUAGGCUGGGGACUCCUGGCUAUAAGCCCAGAUGCCUCAGAUUAUUGCCAGUUUCCUUAGACAUUCUAAAGUUGUGGAAUGGUGGGAACCUGAGAUGUUUGCUGUAUUGCAGACCUAGGUGCUGACAUAUUACAGUUUGUCUUUCUUAUUUAAAUUCAUCUUCCCCAAAUAGAGAUUUCUACUGUUUUGCAUGCAACUAAUUUUUUUUAAGUACCACACUGAAAAGCUGUUAAAAAUUUGUGGGAGAGUAAUUUGCAUAUUUAUUGUGGCACGAAUCAUGUACAUUUGUUAUGUGCUGAGUAUUGUAUUUGUUUGGGAGGAAUUGGCACUUCCUCAUGUUUCAGUUAGCAGUACAAGUGAGCUAAAAUGUUGGGUAUAUAACCAUCAUCUUGGAAAUCAAUGGAAAGGUACUAGCUGUGGUUUUAUGUUCUUCCCCAAACUGAAGAACGGAAGGAGGAUAACUUUUAAACAUGGAUGCUAGGGCUCGAGAAAUAUUUCAGAUUCCUUGGCUUCAGUACUCCUUGGAAUUUUUUUUUAUGCUGCCGGCAUUACACUGCACAUAGAAUUGAGUAAAUGGUCAAAAUUCCUGGGUGCUGCUGUUGCAUUUCUAGGUGAUCAAGCACAUUUCAUUUUUCCAGUGUUGAUGUGUGAUAAAUGAUAACUUUGGAGCAGGGAUUUUGGAACUGGGGCUGAAGGCAACUUUACAGUUAGGCAGAUGCAAUUUUUGGUGUUUAUCUCCAUUUAUAGUACUGUAUGUCAAAAGCUGGGUUACACAAAUUCUGGCUGGCCUUAAUAGUUGAGCCAAGAUGCUCAUCUUGAACCUAAGCCACACUGUGUUCAGUGGGGCUUACUCCCAAAUAAAUGGCCAUUAGCAAGGGUAUUGCAGAGAGAAAGGCAGGAUCUUGUUUGAGGGGUGAUAAGCUGCUGGCUGCAAAAUGGCCAGCGCAAUCCACAUCUCUAACUUGAAGCUGGGGAGGGAUGCAGAUCGUCUUUGUUGUAUUGAGCCCCCACCAAAAAACCUCAGCGUAACAGUAUGGGUGAGUCCUGCUUGUUCUGCAGCUUCAAUAUAGAAAGGGCGG